GCCGAGUGCGGUGGUGCUCGCUUGUAAUCCCAGCAGCUUGGGAGGCAGAGGCAGGAGGUUAGCAAGUUCAAAGCUAGCCUUAG
rnacentral:sRNA from 1 species